AACGAACGCUGGCGGCAUGCCUAACACAUGCAAGUCGAACGAGACCUUCGGGUCUAGUGGCGCACGGGUGCGUAACGCGUGGGAACCUGCCCUUAGGUUCGGAAUAACUCCCCGAAAGGGGUGCUAAUACCGGAUAAUGUCUUCGGACCAAAGAUUUAUCGCCUUUGGAUGGGCCCGCGGUGGAUUAGCUAGUUGGUAGGGUAAAAGCCUACCAAGGCGACGAUCCAUAGCUGGUCUGAGAGGAUGAGCAGCCACACUGGGACUGAGACACGGCCCAGACUCCUACGGGAGGCAGCAGUGGGGAAUAUUGGACAAGGGGCGAAAGCCUGAUCCAGCAAUGCCGCGUGAGUGAUGAAGGCCUUAGGGUUGUAAAGCUCUUUUACCCGGGAUGAUAAUGACAGUACCGGGAGAAUAAGCUCCGGCUAACUCCGUG
rnacentral:rRNA from 1 species